UACGACAUGGGGUAAUGGUAGCCCACAGGACUUUGACUCCUGCAAUCUUGGUUCAAUUCCAAGUGUCGUAG
rfam:Butyrivibrio proteoclasticus strain P18 genome assembly, contig: Ga0066879_144